GCACUAUCUGGGUGUGUCAAGUAACGGUUGUACAUCUACAGGUAAUAUCUUUAAUAGGUUGAGCCCAAGGAUGAGAAAUAGGUAACUAGCACUAUCUGGGUGUGUCAAGUAACGGUUGUACAUCUACAGGUAAUAUCUUUAAUAGGUUGAGCCCAAGGAUGAGAAAUAGGAAACUAGCACUAUCUGGGUGUGUCAAGUAACGGUUGUACAUCUACAGGUAAUAUCCUUGAUACAUUGGGUCUCAAGGAUGAGAACUAGGAUAAGAGCUUUCCUUCUGGGUGUCUCAAGUCAGCUUUUCAUAUACAGGUUGUGUGCCUGAUAGGCUAGGUCCACAGGGGGAGAAAUAAUAUACAAACUUACCUAGGGUCAGGUCACAACUGUACAUCUACAGGUAUUGUUAAAAAGUUGGGUCCAUAGGGUGAGAACUAAUCCCCAGGGUGAGAUCUAAGAUACAAAUU